rnacentral:siRNA from 1 species
AAGAGUGAUGGUUGAAGUUCUGA